CAAGUGGUGGUUAUGCCCGACACAUUAAUCAGGUACGUAGCAGACUGGCGAAAAGCACAGUCCAGCCGGUGUUAGUAUAUAGUAUAUAGUUAGUAUAUAGUUAGUAUAUAGUUAGUAUAUAGUGACUGGCAUUAUUGAACCUAUUUGACGAUCCGUGGAGAUCAUUUCUGCAGCAUACCUGUGACAGCACGUCUACUACCACCGCUAUGCGCAUUGUACGCACGAGUACGGGCUACGGCACCUUGCUUGUAAAGCGGUGUUAUCCGUAAGCGACAUGUACGUACAAACAUGUUGUCCACGCCACUUUAUUAUACCUGCGUAUUGUGAUUGUGUUUUCGUUUGUAUAUUAUUAAGAAAUAUAAACGUAAUUCUUUUGGAAACCGAGUGUAGCCAGGGAUCAAUUGGUUUUAACUACGAUGGUUUUUUUUUUUUUUCUGUCUAGUAUGGUGACACGUUUUUUUCAUAGUAAACUUACUCCGAUUUUGACGCGUA